rnacentral:rRNA from 1 species
AUUGAACGCUGGCGGCAGGCCUAACACAUGCAAGUCGAACGGUAACAGGAAACAGCUUGCUGUUUCGCUGACGAGUGGCGGACGGGUGAGUAAUGUCUGGGAAACUGCCUGAUGGAGGGGGAUAACUACUGGAAACGGUAGCUAAUACCGCAUAACGUCGCAAGACCAAAGAGGGGGGCCCUCGGGCCUCUUGCCAUCGGAUGUGCCCAGAUGGGAUUAGCUUGUUGGUGGGGUAACGGCUCACCAAGGCGACGAUCCCUAGCUGGUCUGAGAGGAUGACCAGCCACACUGGAACUGAGACACGGUCCAGACUCCUACGGGAGGCAGCAGUGGGGAAUAUUGCACAAUGGGCGCAAGCCUGAUGCAGCCAUGCCGCGUGUAUGAAGAAGGCCUUCGGGUUGUAAAGUACUUUCAGCGGGGAGGAAGGGAGUAAAGUUAAUACCUUUGCUCAUUGACGUUACCCGCAGAAGAAGCACCGGCUAACUCCGUG